rnacentral:rRNA from 1 species
UGGGGAAUAUUGCACAAUGGGCGCAAGCCUGAUGCAGCCAUGCCGCGUGUAUGAAGAAGGCCUUCGGGUUGUAAAGUACUUUCAGCGGGGAGGAAGGGAGUAAAGUUAAUACCUUUGCUCAUUGACGUUACCCGCAGAAGAAGCACCGGCUAACUCCGUGCCAGCAGCCGCGGUAAUACGGAGGGUGCAAGCGUUAAUCGGAAUUACUGGGCGUAAAGCGCACGCAGGCGGUUUGUUAAGUCAGAUGUGAAAUCCCCGGGCUCAACCUGGGAACUGCAUCUGAUACUGGCAAGCUUGAGUGUCGUAGAGGGGGGUAGAAUUCCAGGUGUAGCGGUGAAAUGCGUAGAGAUCUGGGGGAAUACCGGUGGCGAAGGCGGCCCCCUGGGCGAAGACUGACGCUCAGGUGCGAAAGCGUGGGGAGCAAACAGG